UACGGAGGGUGCAAGCGUUGUCCGGAAUCACUGGGCGUAAAGGGCGCGUAGGCGGCUCGGUAAGUAGGGGGUGAAAUCCUGCGGCUUAACCGCAGGGCUGCCUUCUAAACUGUCGAGCUUGAGCACGGUAGAGGCAGAUGGAAUUCCCGGUGUAGCGGUGGAAUGCGUAGAGAUCGGGAAGAACACCAGUGGCGAAGGCGGUCUGCUGGGCCGUUGCUGACGCUGAGGCGCGACAGCGUGGGGAGCAAACAGG
rnacentral:rRNA from 1 species